GAUGAACGCUGGCGGUAUGCUUAACACAUGCCAGUCGAACGGACUCUUCGGAGUUAGUGGCGGACGGGUGAGUAACGCGUGAGAAUCUGGCUUUGGGUUCGGGACAACCACUGGAAACGGUGGCUAAUACCGGAUGUGCCGAGAGGUAAAAGAGAAAUUGCCUGAAGAUGAGCUCGCGUCUGAUUAGCUAGUUGGUGAGGUAAAGGCUCACCAAGGCAGCGAUCAGUAGCUGGUCUGAGAGGAUGACCAGCCACACUGGGACUGAGACACGGCCCAGACUCCUACGGGAGGCAGCAGUGGGGAAUUUUCCGCAAUGGGCGAAAGCCUGACGGAGCAAUACCGCGUGAGGGAAGAAGGCUCUUGGGCUGUAAACCUCUUUUCUUAGGGAAGAACAAAAUGACGGUACCUAAGGAAUCAGCAUCGGCUAACUCCGUG
rnacentral:rRNA from 1 species